UCAGGUGUGUGUGUGUGUGUGUGUGUGUGUGUGUGUGUGUGUGUGUGUGUGUGUGUGUGUGUGUGUGUGUGUGUGUAGCUCCCUCACUGUUGUUGCUCAAGUUACAGAGAAGUAUAGGCAGGUAGAAGGGCACAACAUGGCUUUCACCCCAAACCUAAUGUACUGAUUAUAUUUAUUUUCGCUAUUGAUGGUGUGAGAGAGAGAGAGAGAGAGAGAGAGAGAGAGAGAGAGAGAGAGAGAGAGGAUGACAAGAGAGGUAUAGACACUUAAGGGCGAGAUUCCUGUAAUGUACAAGAAGUCGAAAUAAGUCAAGUGAAGGAGAGAAGGUGACGAGGUGGAUGUUGUAGCACGUUCACGACUUGUUUGUAUGUGUCUAUGAGUGAGUGAGAGACAAAAGGGAGAGGUAAGAGUUGGAAAAAGUUAAGAAGCAUCCGUUAGUAAUUCAUCUUCCUCUCCCAGUCCUGAAUGCAAGUAUGAGAGAGAAAAGAGUAAGAGUGAGAGUGAGAUGGACAGAUUAAUGGGAUAGAACAAGUUACAAUUCAUCCCUUAAUCAGUCUGUCUCUCUCCGUCUCUCCCCAUUAUGUUCCUACAACAGAGGCGGUGUAUGGCAGAGGAAGGGGAGGUAUAAAGGAAUGGUUCUGUGUGCUUCCUUCCAUCGUGGUUGUGUGGUGUGCAAACUGUAUUAUUAUUCUCAAGCCAUAUUCCUUUUAUACUUUUUAACGUAGCGUGUUUUUGUGUACCAUUGUUGAUUAAAGAAAACACUGAUGAUGAUGAUGA
rnacentral:lncRNA from 1 species